rnacentral:lncRNA from 1 species
GUGGAAGUGAAUUAGAAUGUGUGUAAUGGAUGUAGUGUUUGUGUGUAUUAGAUACUGUUUGUGCAGUGAAUGCAGAGUGUGUGUUUGUGUAGCGGAUGCAGUGUGUAUAGUGAACGCAGAGUGUAUUUGAGUAGUGGAUGUAGUGUGUGUACAGUGAUGUAGUGGAUGUAGUGUUUGUAUGUACUAGAUGAAAUGUGUUUAGUGGAUGCAGUGUCUGUAGUGUGUGUAUUAGACGCAGUGUCUGUGUAUAGUGAAUGCAGAGUGUUUCAAUUUGUGGUGGAUGUAGUGUGUGUACUGUGAAUACAGGAUGUUUGUGUAGUGGAUGCUGUGUGUACAGUUAAUGCAGAGUGUAUGUUAGUGUAGUGAAUGCAGAGUGUGUGUCAGUAUAGUGAAUCCAGAGUGUGUGCAUAGUUUAGUGAAUGCAGAGUGUGUGUUAGUGUGUAAUGAAUGCAGAGUGUGUGUUAGUGUGUAGUGAAUGCAGAGUGUCA